ACUCCUACGGGAGGCAGCAGUAGGGAAUCUUCCACAAUGAGCGCAAGCCUGAUGGAGCAACACCGCGUGAGUGAAGAAGGGUUUCGGCUCGUAAAGCUCUGUUGUUAAAGAAGAACACGUAUGAGAGUAACUGUUCAUACGUUGACGGUAUUUAACCAGAAAGUCACGGCUAACUACGUGCCAGCAGCCGCGGUAAUACGUAGGUGGCAAGCGUUAUCCGGAUUUAUUGGGGCGUAAAGAGAGUGCAGGCGGUUUUCUAAGUCUGAUGUGAAAGCCUUCGGCUUAACCGGAGAAGUGCAUCGGAAGCUGGAUAACUUGAGUGCAGAAGAGGGUAGUGGAACUCCAUGUGUAGCGGUGGAAUGCGUAGAUAUAUGGAAGAACACCAGUGGCGAAGGCGGCUACCUGGUCUGCAACUGACGCUGAGACUCGAAAGCAUGGGUAGCGAACAGGAUUAGAUACCCUGGUAGGAUAGCG
rnacentral:rRNA from 1 species